rnacentral:misc_RNA from 1 species
GAAAUGCGAUAAGUAGUGUGAAUUGCAGAAUUCAGUGAAUCAUCGAAUCUUUGAACGCACAUUGCGCCCCUUGGUAUUCCAUGGGGCAUGCCUGUUCGAGCGUCAUUUGUACCCUCAAGCUCUGCUUGGUGUUGGGUGUUUGUCCCCGUCUCCGCGCGUGGACUCGCCCCAAAGUGAUUGGCAGCCGGCGUACUGGUCCCGGAGCGCAGCACAUGUCGCGCAAACGAGUGCCUUGGUACGGCGGCGUCCAUAAGCCCCUCUCUCACGCUCUUGACCUCGGAUCAGGUGGGGAUACCCGCUGAACUUAAGC